rnacentral:rRNA from 1 species
UGCAUAUCAAUAAGCGGAGGAAAAGAAACCAACAGGGAUUGCCUCAGUAGCGGCGAGUGAAGCGGCAAGAGCUCAGAUUUGAAAUCGUGCUUUGCGGCACGAGUUGUAGAUUGCAGGUUGGAGUCUGUGUGGAAGGCGGUGUCCAAGUCCCUUGGAACAGGGCGCCCAGGAGGGUGAGAGCCCCGUGGGAUGCCGGCGGAAGCAGUGAGGCCCUUCUGACGAGUCGAGUUGUUUGGGAAUA